ensembl:snRNA U6 U6 spliceosomal RNA
GUGCUCACUUUGGCAGCACAUAUACUAAAAUCGGAACAAGACACAGAAGAUUACCAUGCCCCUGCAUAAGGAUGACACAAAUUCGUGAAGCAUUCCAUAUUUUA